UCCUGAUCCUCUCCCUCCUCCCACCCUCCACCCUCCGAUAGGCCCCAGUGUGUGCUGUUCCCCUCUAUGUGUCCGUGUGUUCUCACCAUUUAGCUCCCACUUAUGAGUGAGAACAGCAGCAUGGCAUUUCUUUCUUUUGAGACGGAGUCUCACUCUGUCGCCCAGGCUGGAGUGCAGUGGUGCCAUCUGGGCUCACUGCAACCUCCACCUCCCGGGUUCAAGUGAUUCUCCUGCCUCAGGCUCCUGAGUAGCUGGGAUUACAGGUACCCGCCACCACACCAGGCUAAUUUUUUGUGUUUUUAGUAGAGACGGGGUUUCUCCAUAUUGGCCAGGCUGGUCUCGAACUCCUGACCUCAGGUGAUCCACUGGCCUUGGCCUCCCAAAGUGCUGGGAUUACAGGCGUGAGCCACCACAACCGGCUGGCAGGGCAUUUCUUACUGUAUCUAGGAUUGGUGAGAUGGCCCCUGGAUAUGAUCCUUCUGCUGAGGUUCUGGGGUAUGUGUGAAGAUUCGUUACAUAGGCCAAUUUGUGUCACCAGCGUUUGUGGUACAUAUUAUUUCAUCACCCAGGAAUUGGAACACAUAUUUAUAUAAGGA
rnacentral:lncRNA from 1 species